rnacentral:lncRNA from 1 species
GUAGGAAAAAAAAUUUUCUUAUCAUAUCUCUUCCCUCCUACAACUAUAAAUAGGGGUCUUCAUAACUGAGAAAAGGCACUAGAAGUUAUAGCAAAAAGCAAGAAAGAUCUCGUGAAUCAAACGUUGCGAAUUCCUCCACAAGUUUCAAUCUUCAAGCAAUCAAGUUCAAGCUCAAGAACAAAGAACAAAUCAAGGUUAAGUUCAGGCAAUCAUGCUCAAGCUUAAGAACAAGAUCAUCGUUUGUGGAAACAAUUACAUAUUCAAGAUCAAGCUCAAAGGCUCUUGAAUUUAUUUACUAUCGAAAAGAAGACAGAGGAUUCAUAGAGAUUGUACACUUAUAUUAUUUGAAAUCAAAUACUACGAUUGUUGUAAUAUUUUCUCAAUGCAAUUUAUUGUCUACACUAACAUAUAAAAUAUAAAAUUAUAAUAUAAAAAAUGUAUCAACCUAAUUAACAAUAUAAUGAAAAUAUCGAAUAAAUUUAAAUAUUAAUGAUAUUGCAAUAUACCUAAAGAUAUUAACCAAUUAAAAAGAAAAAUACUUUAAUUAAUAUUGUUCAAUUUACAGUAGUCGCAUGGAGGUUUCGCAUGUGCAUCCCAGACCUGCAUCGCUAGAGCUACUGUUGCUAUAGGCCGAGCAUAGGUCUUCAUACAUAUGGGAUGGACAGUGUUUGUCCUCGACAUUCCGGGCCAGACUUAUAGUCGAUAUGUGGGAGAUCAUUAAGGCUCACCCAUUCCAUCCCCGUAUAGUUAGACGCCACUAGGAUACGGGUAUCUACAGGAUCAUAGAGAUUGGCCGGUUGUAGUUCAACUGGGCAUUGAUCACGACUAUGAUAGAGCGGUGGUGACCGGAGACGCACACGUUUCAUCUACCCAUCGGUAAGGCUACCAUCACACUUGAGGACUUGGAGGUUCUUUUUGGGCUGCUAGUUGAUGGAUUACCUGUAGUUUACCUGCAUGCUCUUAGAAAAUAUACGGAAUUUCAUUACCUGUAGAUGUUGCAACGGCUCACCGAUUUCCAGACAAAGGAGGGGACUGCAUUGAGUAGGGCCAGUCAUUUAUAGUUGACGCCUGUCCACCAUCAUCGGGAGGCAAUGGAUGCGGACAUUACAGAUGAUUCGCCGGCAAAGGUUAUCGACUGGUACACGAGAUUGUUGAUGUUGCUUAUGUUUGGUGGGUUAUUGUUCCCAAACACUUCGGGAAAUCUAGUCAACUUGAGAUUUCUUCAUCAUCUUGAGCGGCUAGAUGAUUUACCUGGUUACAGUUGGGGUGCAGCUGUUCUAGGUUACCUGUAUAGGCAGAUGUGUCGGGCGUGCAUGGGCACCCAGAGAGACGUUGCCGUAUUUUUGCCGCUGCUGCAAGUGAAACCAUAGUCAAUUCUUUUCAUGAUUAUAACAUACAUAGUAAAAAUAUAUCUUCAAUUUUACUUCCACAAUGUAUAUUAGGUUUGGCCUGGGAGCGGUUCCUGCAGUUCUAGCCACCUCUACCACCCAUCGCUCUAGAUGUACCACCUCCACCAUUUCUCCCUUUAGCUAGGUGGUGAGUUGAUAGGCGAGGCUACGGACGCGAGGUCGAGGCUCGACAUCAUCUCCCCUAUUACAGGGAUUUUUUGGAUUUGCUUGAAGGCUACAUGUAUACUUAAGUUUACUUGGCCUGGCUUUAUAUGUGUUGUGUUUACUCACAAUUCCUGUGUUUACUUAAUAGUUCAUAUGGAGGCCAUACAGCAACGAGCUAAUAGCUAGUUUGCCCAAUUAUUGCUCCCGCGACAGAGUUAUGUGGAUCUCUAACGUCCCAUUGAUGUGUCUCGAUAUUGUCGAGCAUCAUGCCACCGAGCGAGUUUUUCGCCAGUUUGGUCGACCGCAUCUUGUACCUACUCCGCCUGCUUGGCUUAGGACACAUUACCAGUGGGAUGAUCAUUCCAAAGUUGACCAGACAUACGUGGUCUGGCUAAAGGCGCAGAUUGAGAUUUGGGAGUGUAGGUAUGACAUGAUUCCGCCACCCCUCAACCUGAGCAUAUGGAUGGUGAGAAUGAAUAUAUAGGCUGGUAUCGCAGCGUUACCUGACUUUUUGUUGGGAAUCUCAUUCAUCGCGCUGGUGGUCAGUACAUUCUAUACGCUGGGAGGCAUGAGGCACUGGUAUGUAAUUUGUUAUACUUACUUAUAGCGUUAACUUAUCUUUCCAUAAUUAAUAUUUUACAUGUUGUGCAGGCUGUUGGCUUACAUCUGUUCUACCAGUUGGGACUGCAGAUGUAGCAUCAUACUGGAGAGGGAGCGACAACUUUGCAUGAGUAUGGCCGGCAGGUUACAGAUCUAGCUUCUCGGACAUUAAGGAAUGCCCGAGAUGAUGAGCGCUUAGGAUACGAGGCUAUUAAUAUGGCGCCAGAGGACUACCAUCAUAGGCCACUAGUGGAGCUUGAACGUGGUAGCCAUGGCAGGUGUGCCCAGAGAGGAAGGGGUGUCCCACGAGGUCGUGGUGGUAGGGGAGGACGUGGUUCCUAGCAAGGGGCGUUGAGGCACAUGUUGAGGAUUUUAGAGAUGGUCAGCCGGGUGACCACUCUGAGCCAGACGAUGCUCCUCAUGAUAUGCCGUCAUUCAGCCUUCAACUGAUGCCAGCGACUUUGCAGGUGACCCCAUGAGCUCCAUUGUUGAUCGCGGGCACGGCCAUUAUGCGACAGGGUGUAAUGACCCAGCUGGUCAUUUCAUGUGUUACCGCUCCAUUUCCCUCAUUUCUGCUUCUUUAUGUAUUGUUCAGUUGUAUUACGUUGUAUCGAGUUGCUCGGUUAGGGUUCAGAAUGGUUUUGAAGAGGAAUGAGACACUUAGUCUCUUAAGUUGGCCUUUUAGUUGGAAAACUCAACCGAAAGUUGACUUGUGAGUAAACGAUCUUGGAAUUCGGUUUUUAUGAUUCGGAUAGCUUCCUGAGGUGAUUUUAGACUUAGGAGUGUGUUCGGAAUGUAAUUUGGGGGUCCGUGGUAGGUUUAGUCUUGAAUAGGCGAAAUUGGAAUUUUGACACUUUCCGGUUGGUAGUGGAAAUUUUGAUAUUGGGGUCGGAAUGGAAUUUAGGAAAUUGGAGUAGGUCUGUUGUGUUAUUUUUGACGUGUGUGCAAAAUAUCAGGUCAUUUGGAGGAGGUUUGAUAGACUUUUUGAUCGUUUGCGGAAUUCUAAAGUUUUGGAAUCCUUAGGCUUGAAUCCGAGGGUGAUUUGGUAUUUCGCUGUUGCUUUGAGUGUUUCGAAGAUUGGUAUAAGUUUGAAUAGUGGUAUAUGACUUGUUCGAACUUUUAGUAUCGGGGGCCUCGGGAUGAUUUUGGAUAGUUAUCAAGAAGUUUGGGAGUUGGAGUUUGCAGCUGAAGCUGCUGAGGUUCUGUCAUAACCGCACCUGCGGUUAGGAGACUGCAGGUGCAAUGAUCGCAGAUGCGGCCAUAGGUGAAGAAGGCAGAAGUCACAGAUGUAGAGAAAGGGACGCACCUGCGUGACCACAGGUGCGGGUAUUUCGUCGCAGGUGUGGUCAGGGAAAUUAAAUGAAAACCCGCAAAAGUGGUUGGAUAAGAGUAAAAGCAAUCCCGCAAGUGCGAGAAAUGGAAUGCAGAUGCGGUAUCGCUGGGCAAAAGGUAUAAAAAGGACCCCUUCGUGAAUUUUACUAAGUUUUGCCAUCUUUGAAGACGGAAGAGAGCUAGGGCAGUGAUUUUUCAAGGAAAUCGAAGGGUUUCAGUUGAGUAAGCUUUUAAGCCUUAUUAUUUGUGUUAAUGGACAUUUUUCCAUUGUUUAAUUAUGGUAUUAGUGGAAAAUUAUGGAAGAAAGUUGGGAGAUUAGGGCUUGGAAUUGGAGACUUUGAUUUAGGGAUUUAAGGGGUCGUUUGUGGUCGGAUUUUGGUGUAUUUGGUAUGUAUAAACUCGUGAAAGUGUAAGGAUUCUAGUUUUGUGAAUUUAUCGGAAUUCGAGACAUGGGCCUGGGGGUCGGGUUUGCCCAAUUUCGGGAUUUUUGAGUUAAAUUGAUAAUUUUCAUAUGGGUUUCAUUCCUUUAGCGUAUAUUGAUGGUUAUAUACUAAUUUUGGUUAGAUUUGGGGAAUUUGGAGGCCGAAUCGAGAGGCAAAGGCAUCGCGGGCUAGAGUUUGGCUUGACUUGAGGUAAGUAACAUUUCCAAACUUGGUUCUGAAGGUUCGAAACCCCGAACUAUGUGUUCUAUGAUUACUAUUGAGGUGACGCAAAUGCCAAGUGACAGGUGUGAGUGCGUGCACCAUGAGAAUUGUGACCUGGGUCAUUCCAUGGCACCGCUUAGUGACUCUUUCAUGUUGACAUCUGUGUUGAAAUUAUGUGAUUUAGUUAAUGAGCUGCAAAUCAUACUAAUAAUCAUGUUAAGGCUUCACGCCAACACUGUUGAGACCUGAGAGGUCAUUUCUUGAUGUCAUGUCAUUAGAUUCAGUUAUAUUAUGCACUCAGUCCUGUUCAUGCAUAUUAUAUCAUGCCUCAGUCUCGAUUAUUGCUAUUUGACAUAUCAUAUCAUUAUUCGGGCUAGUAUUAUGACAUUUUUGAGCCCGUGUGUGUGAGACUGGAGAGUAAUGACUUAGUGAGGCCGAGAGUCUGAUAUUGAGUGACAAUAUGGGAUCGGGCUGCACGCCGCAACGAGAUAUUGAUCACGCCUUCAUUGGCUUGAUAUAGUGUUUGGGCUAAGAAAAGCCCCUCCGGAGUCUUUACACCCCCAGUGAGCGUAGUUGAUGAUAUUGACGGAUGGAUCUUCCCUGGACAUGAAUCUUGUCCGAAGUAUUGAUAUCUGGAGAUGGAUCUUCUCCAUGGGGCCAUAUGGGCUCCCUCGGUACUGGAUGACUACGGUUAGUGAUGUGUAUAUAUUGCGGGAUGGAUCUUCCCUAGGCCGGGCGGCAAUAUACACUAUCGAGUGGUUGAGCACUUGUGAGUGGAGGUAUACAGAACAUUGAUCAUACUAUUUGUGCAUUGUUACUUAGUAAUUUCCUGAGCCUUAUACUCUAUACUGGUCAUGUUGUAUUUACUUACUGCUGAGCUUUUACUUGAACUUCAAGCAUGCCUACUUUUCCGUACAGCUUAUUUGUAUACUAUUGAGGUUUGGAUCGUCACUAUCGUCAGUCUAUAGUUUGGACUUGUUACUUACUGAGUUGGUGUACUCACGUUACCCCCUGCACCCCUAUGUGUAGAUCCAGGUAUCGGGGCACAGUAGCGAUAGCUAAUCAUACCAGUUGGAGACUCUUCUUUGGAGAUUGCGAGGUAGCUGCAUGGCGACCGCAGUUCCACCUUCUCUUCCUUAUGUUCCUUGUAGUAGUUUUGUUGGAUAUUCUCAAACUAUGUAGUCUUGUUUAUUUCGAAUAGUUAUAGUAUUUUGCUCAUGACUUAGUGACACCCGAUGUCGGGCUUGUACUUUCUUUAUGCUUGUUUUGAUUUCUACUUUUACCAUUUAUCGGAUUUCUGUUAAAAAUGUUAUUUUCUUAAAGUUUUAAAUGAAAUAUGGAGUAUUUUGAAAAAGGUUGGUUGCCCUAGUUUCACGAUAGGCGUCAUCACGACCAGGCCAAUUUUUGGGUCAUGACAAGGAGUGAGAUCAGUAGGUCCCCCAGAGCCAUCGACGACUGCUGAUGAUCGUCCAACACGAGAUGUGCAUAGUGGGUGCCGAUUGAGUUAUGGAUCAUCAUCGAGGGAUGCUGAGGAUCUUUCACAGGUGCAGGUUUGUUUGUAUCACAAUUUUUUUAUUUGUUUUUAUCUCAUUGAUUAGUCAUCCAUAUCUAAAGCGUUUUUUUAAAGACAACAUCCUCGCCCAUCACGGAGGCUACUUUGUGCGAUACUGACAUGCCGGAGAUGGAUGAUUAUAUUCAGGAGCCCAACGAGACCAUGGUAAGACCAUUAGAAAAAUUUGCUAACAUGUACGUUAGUAAUAUAUAUUUCAUCUACUAAAAUAUCUUAUUAUUUUGUAGGUUACUACUGGACCGACGGCCACUUCUAUCGAGUCUGACGGCCUUACCAACGAUCAUGCUGCAGCGCAUCCUCCGAUAAAGAGGCGACAUGAUGAGAAUGAUCCUGAUAGUGUAGCCGGGGCGAGAUAGGAUGCGCCUCAGCCUAGCCAAUGCUUUAAAGCAUACAGGUUGUGGGACAAAUUGACAUUUAUGAUUAUCUGUAUAUAUGACUGUCACACCUUAUUUUUACACACCCGAAGGCAUAUAUAAGGGAGUUCUUCCAAUUUAAGUGACAAUCGAAACGGGAUUAUUUAAUCAAAUUUAGAGUCGCCACUUGGGAUAAUUUAUGGUGUCCCAGUCACCAGUUCAAAUCCUGAAUCGAGGAAAGAUUGACUCUGUUUUAUAAUAUGCAAACACAGAAAUUCGGGUAAGAAAUUCUGUUAACCCGUGAGAAGGUGUUAGGCAUUCCCAGGUUCCGUGGUUCUAGCACAGUGGCUUAAACUAUCAUAAUUGGCCUACUAUCUUAUUUUAAUACAUGUUUUAGCCUAUGGUACAAUUUUAACUUAUUAAACCACUCUUAAUUAUUUUUACGAUGAUUCAACGUUAUUUAAAACACGACUUGAACCACGCCACAUAAAAUGCACGCGCAGUUCGCGACACGUUCUAUUUAACGUUGUUGAGAUUCGAAUUUGGGUCACAUGAAAUGUACACCCGAGUUGGGAAUUAUGUAUCAUGACCAUGUCACGAGAACCAUAUCCAUAGUCACGAUAAUUUAUUUAUUAAGAAUUUGCCUAAGGCAUACUAAUAAUCUUGGAAUCAGUAAUUAUUUGUUAUGAACUAAAAGAACGAAAUGGGCCAACAACGUAUAUUUACAAGGAUUAGAUUCACUACAGCUCUUGUUGAAUUAGGCUGAAAAAGAAAUUAUUUGGCCCAUUAUUGAGCUUAUUUAAAGCACUAUAUCCAUCUAGCUCUAAUUCUUAAAGUUUUUUUUAUUCAGCUUCAUAAACGAACUUGAACAAGAUUUCAAAACCAUAAAUUAAUAAAGAUAAUAAAUAGAAAAAUCUUUUGUGUUCCAAAAAACUAAUUUGUUCAGCAACUUAAGCCCCAUUUCUAUUGAUGAAUAACAAAUAAGAGGGAUCCAAGUUAUAGAUUUUUAAUCUAUUCAGACAAUCAAAGCGGUCACUACAAUAUUUAGCAAUAAUGACCAUAUAAAAACAAAGGACAAACUAUACUCAGAACUAUUCAAGUGAAUUAGAGAAAAUGAGUAAAAACAUGGAUAAAAUAUGAUCAAAAAUAGAGACGAGGAACUAAAAUGAAGGGAAAGAUGAAAACAGACCUUUAUUGAUAAUUUUUCUUUUCUAUUGCAUACAGUGGAACAAAGCUCUAGAUAUGCAUGAAAUGACCCAUCUCCGGAGCGCAAACAGAACUUCGAUAGAUCGUAGCUUCGAUCGAACCGCGACUAGAACAUGGAAAACUCACUGGAAAAUCUCGUAACUCCGCGCAUUACUUGGAUCGACUCCGACGUGUAUAUAUUUAUUUUUUUUGACGUGAAAUUAGUGACUGUUUUGAAUUGUAUUGAGAGUGAAAUAGGGAAGCUACAACUGCUGAAUUUGCUAGCUUUGCUGUUGUGUUAUUCUUUGAAGAAUGAGUUGUAACGCUAGAGUUCUAAGGUCCAGGUCUAUGGAGAAAAUAGCAAUUGAUUUUGGAGCUUUGUCGUGAGGUGCUGUGUUGUCGCUGUGCGUGAGUAUGUAGGGUGGUGUUGGAGGGUUCUGAUUGGUUGAGGUUGCUUAGUUUUUGUCCACCAUAGAAAAUGGGUAAAACUAUCUUUAAGAAGAAGAAGAUGAUGAUACUCUGCUUUUUUCUCCCAUUCCCAACUUUGCCCAGAUCUAUUUUCCAUCCUUUUUUUCUCUUUUUUCAGUGUGUGCAUGUGUUAUAUAGAAAGGAAAAAACGUGAAAGGAAAGAUUCCACAUCCCUUUUUCCUUCUUCAGGACGUGAGUGUGCAAGUGAAUUUG